UGGACGAAAGUCUGACGGAGCAACGCCGCGUGAGUGAUGAAGGUUUUCGGAUCGUAAAGCUCUGUUGUUAGGGAAGAACAAGUGCAAGAGUAACUGCUUGCACCUUGACGGUACCUAACCAGAAAGCCACGGCUAACUACGUGCCAGCAGCCGCGGUAAUACGUAGGUGGCAAGCGUUGUCCGGAAUUAUUGGGCGUAAAGGGCUCGCAGGCGGUUUCUUAAGUCUGAUGUGAAAGCCCCCGGCUCAACCGGGGAGGGUCAUUGGAAACUGGGAAACUUGAGUGCAGAAGAGGAGAGUGGAAUUCCACGUGUAGCGGUGAAAUGCGUAGAGAUGUGGAGGAACACCAGUGGCGAAGGCGACUCUCUGGUCUGUAACUGACGCUGAGGAGCGAAAGCGUGGGGAGCGAACAGGAUUAGAUACCCUGGUAGUCCACGCCGUAAACGAUGAGUGCUAAGUGUUAGGGGGUUUCCGCCCCUUAGUGCUGCAGCUAACGCAUUAAGCACUCCGCCUGGGGAGUACGGUCGCAAGACUGAAACUCAAAGGAAUUGACGGGGGCCCGCACAAGCGGUGGAGCAUGUGGUUUAAUUCGAAGCAACGCGAAGAACCUUACCAGGUCUUGACAUCCUCUGACAACCCUAGAGAUAGGGCUUUCCCUUCGGGGACAGAGUGACAGGUGGUGCAUGGUUGU
rnacentral:rRNA from 1 species